AAAUUGGCAACUUGACUGAGCUGCAGAAGCAUGCUCAGAUGAAACAACCCCAUUCAGGCCCUUCAGAGAUAGAUCCUGCACGGCGACUUGAUUGGGAUAACCUUCAGCAGUCUUCAGAGAUGUACAUUCAGAUGUACCAAAUGGAGUGGUUUAGGUGAUUGUGUUAUCGAGCAUGGGGAUAGAUGACCAUGAAGAUUUUCCUCAUAGCAGGGUCAACUGGUGGUGACCUCCUCCUGUAUAUCUUGUAAUGUACUUCAUAGCGGUUCAAGAAACCGGCAGAGCUCAAGAGGAAGCAGAAGAAGAAGCAGUCACCAUUGAAGCUCUGAUGGUUCAAGUCUACAAGAUCUGUAAAUACACAAGAGUACAGAUUUGUUGAAACCAACAAUGAACUUGCAAGACGUCUGAUCGCCGGACACUACAGGAACGGAUCUCAUUUCUAUGAUGAUUGAGCACCAAGAAGCUAGUCCAUCAUCUAGAGGCAGCUUUGCAGCUUCGUAUGUCUCAGUUCUACCUUCUCUAUUGAGUUUUCCUGUUGGGAAUUUAUCUAUGGAUAUUGAUCUUAUAUGUGAAUAUUGAUCGUAAGUGGUACAUCAUGCAUAUAUUACUGACAUGCAAUUGGAAGUCAAUGUUCUUAAUUUCUAUCUUGAUGUAAGCCUAAUAUUUGGUUUGUAUUUGACAGUAAGGAGUUAUGGGCUUAGAUCUGCAAAGUGUAUGGAACCUAUUUGAUGCUUGUAACGUGAUAGUUAUACUUUGCUUCAAAAAUAGAUUAUCACCUGCAACUGAUUUGUGUAAAUUUGAAUCAAUGCUUUGUAUUAUCAUCAAAUAUCAAAUAUAUAGUAAUCAACAAAGGAACAUCUGUUAUGAGUGAUUUAGUCUGGAACAAGAAUGGGAAUGUCUAUCAUAUGCGGUUGGUCCGGUUGGAUCUAGGAGAUUGAGAUAGAUGGUUUUAUGCUCAAAUUAACAAGCGCAUUCUCACCCCAUGAGUUAUUUACCAUGAAUACCAUCUCGUUAUUAUUGAGAUUAUCUUUAUUGUCUUCAUGCUGUUUGACAACAUUCAAAUUUUACCUUUCGGUAGUGUUAUAUUAUUUUUCCACAUAAAAACUGAAUUUUUUUUUAUUCAGAUUGAUAAUAUACAUUAUUGUUUUUCACUAGCGUUGUUUUACUUUUACAUAAAAGCUAUGAAUUUUUCAUUCAGAUUGACAAGAUCCCAUUCUUAUCACGGGGAGAGGACAGAUUGGUCCUGUUCUCUGUGUCUCUCUAAAGAUUCUUGCACUUUCAUGAACAUUAUAGUUCUUGGAAGAUUCUUGCACAUGCAUUUCCUUUAUCUCUCUUGCAGUUGUUUGAUGCAGGUUUCUGUUCAUUUGAUAUAAAUUCUUAGACCUAGACCUUCUUUCUAGUAAUUUGUUUGUUUAAUUAUUAAAUAAGAAGUUAGAAGAUGACAAAUGUAAGAUUUAAAAGGAUAUCUGUCUUCUGGUGCAUCAGUUUAACUGUUGCGUUUCUUCUUUCUGAAGUGAAUCUUGCCUUUUGGGAUAUAUGAUGAUCGUCUCCUUUUCAAUCCUACUUUUAUCUGUUGAUAAACAUCAGACUUGCUUGUUUACCACUGCAACAUUCUUUCAAGAAAAAGCAUUAUGUGUCAGGCUUUGACAAUGCAGGAAAACUACUAUGAUACAGAGAGCCUCAAGCUGCAUCAUGGGUUUAACAUAUCAGCUAGCUGAGUUGAUUCUUUCUGGGAGACUGCUGGUGGCAAAGUGAAACUGAGGUUGAAUCUUCAUGUUGGUGAGCAGGAUUCAAGUGAUGGAAAUAAUCUCUUAUAGAGAUAAGACUACUAGGAUUGAAAAGGUGUGGUAAAAGCUGCAGACUGAGAUGGCUAAACUACUUAAGACCAGACAUCAAACGUGGUGGUUUUACAGAAGAAGAAGAUCAAAGAAUCUGUAGCCUCUACAUAAGUAUUGGAAGCAGGUGGUCAAUAAUUGCAGCCCAACUUCCAGGAAGAACAGACAAUGAUGUCAAGAACUACUGGAACACCAAGCUACAGAAGAAACUAUUCGGCAAGCGAAAAGAACCACCCCUCCACCUCAACCAUGUUCCAACCCUACCUGCAUCAGCUCUCGAGAGGAUGCAUCUCCAAGGCCUCCUCAGCUCCCCCUUCUCCUUCUGCAGCAACCCUGAGCCAUGGCCCAACCACCAGCCACCAGGAGACAGAUCAAUUCUCCCAAGCAUCUCCACAGACUCUACGCAUCAAGCUGGUUUCCAAAUGAGAUCUGGCAUCUUAAAGUCCGAGAGCGCAAGUACACGAGGAGAAGUAGAGCGUUCAGCGCUAGCGUUUCACUCGGCUUCAACCGGAGGAAGCCUCAGCGUGGAGACUUCAACCUCGAGCUUCGAUGCUGUGACUGCAGAUCUUCAAGCUGAUGAGCUCGAUGACUUGCUCUACUGCAACCACUCCUCGUCCUUCGCAGGGCAUCAAGAGCACGAGCUCGCUGGCUUAGACUGUUGCAGAGAAGUGUUCCGUGAAAAGGAGAGCACAGAUUGGUGGAUCGUCGACGGUUUCGAGGAUGAGUCGACGAUGGUGUCUUGGGAUUCAGCUUCAGCUCUCGGUUCACAAGAGUACGACGUUUAGGGAUUUGCAAGAAUCUAUAUGGUGUCCAAAAACGGUGUGCAAUCUUCUUGGUAGUGUUGUCCCAUUUGCGUGUGAGUUUGUCCAUGUUAGGUUGCCUCUCGCAUUACAUCUGAUGGGGAAUGGAUUCGUUAUGAACAGAAGCUGAUUCGAGUAUUCUGGGACAGAAGAAACCUUUUGCUGCUCA